UUGACGUGAACCUCAAUGCUUACUUAGGUAAAGGAGCCUGGUCACUCAGUGAGAUAAUACUAAAUCUUUUUUUUAUAAAUUUUAAGAAGAACUUUUGCAUACCUUGAUCUUUUCAUCUAACCCCCAUGAAGUAGAUUCUUCAUUGAGAUCGAUAAGAAGAGGGCUCUGGAGUUACUUUAGAAUUUGAUCUAGUCUAAACCUUACCAUUCAUU
rnacentral:lncRNA from 1 species